rnacentral:lncRNA from 1 species
AGGGGACUCGGGGAGAAUGGACUGAGGGGACUUGGGGGAAAAUGGACUGAGGGGACUCGGGGGAAAAUGGACUGAGGGGACUCAGGGGAAAAUGGACUGAGGAUACUCUCGGAGGAUGAACUGAGGAUACUCGCGGAGGAUGCACUGAGGAUACUCGGGGGAGGACGGACUGAGGGGAUUCGGGGAGAAUGGACUGAGGGGACUUGGGGGAAAAUGGACUGAGGGGACUCGAGGGAAAAUGGACUGAGGGGACUCGCGGAGGAUGCACUGAGGAUACUCGCGGAGGAUGCACUGAGGAUACUCGCGGAGGAUGGACUGAGGUUACUCGCGGAGGAUGGACUGAGGAUACUCGCGGAGGAUGGACUGAGGAUACUCGGGGGAAAAUGGACUGAGGGGACUCGGGGGAAAAUGGACUGAGGAUACUCGGGGGAAAAUGGACUGAGGGGACUCGCGGAGGAUGAACUGAGGAUACUCGCGGAGGAUGGACUGAGGAUACUCGCGGAGGAUGGACUGAGGAUACUCGGGGGAAAAUGGACUGAGGGGACCCGGGGGAGGAUAGACUCAGGAUACUCAGAGAGGAUGGACUGAGGGGACUCGGGGGAGGAUGGAUUCAGGAUACUCAGAGAGGAUGGACUGAGGGGGCUCGGGGGAGGAUGGACUCAGGAUACGCAGAGAGGAUGGACUGAGGGGACUCAGGGGAGGAUGGACUGAGGAUACUUGGGAGAGGAUGGACUGAGGAUAUUCGGAGAGGAUGGACUGAGGGGACUCGGGAGAGGUUGGACUGAGGAUACUCGGAGAGGAUGGAUUGAGGGGACUCGGGGGAGGAUGGACUGAGGAUACUCGCAGAGGAUGGACUGAGGGGACUCGGGGGAGGAUGGACUGAGGAUACUCAGAGAGGAUGGACUGAGGGGACUCGGGGGAGGAUGGACUGAGGAUACUCGGAGAGGAUGGACUGAGGGGACUCGGGGGAGGAUGGACUCAGGAUACUCGGAGAGGAUGGACUGAGGGGACUUGGGGGAGGAUGGACUCAGGAUACUCAGGAUGGACUGAGGGGACUCGGGGGAGGAUGGACUCAGGAUACUCAGAGAGGAUGGACUGAGGGGACUCAGGGGAGGAUGGACUGAGGAUACUCGGAGAGGAUGGACUGAGGGGACUUGGGGGAGGAUGGACUCAGGAUACUGAGAGAGGAUGGACUGAGGGGACUCAGGGCAGGAUGGACUGAGGAUACUAGCGGAAGAUGGACUGAGAAGACUCGGGGAAGAGUGGACUGAGGAUACUCGCGGAGGACGGACUGAGAAGACUCGGGGGACGAUGCACUGAGGAUACUCGUGGAGGAUGGACUGAGAAGACUCAGGGAGGAUGGGCUGAAGAUACUCGGGGAGGAUGCACUGAGGAUACUUGGAGAGGAUGGACUGAGAGGACUCGGGGAAGAAUGGACUGAGGGGACUCGGAGAGGAUGGAUUGAGGAUACUCUGGGGAGGAUGCACUGAGGGCGCUCUGGGAAGGAUGAACUGAGGAGACUCAUGAAUAGUCUCCCACUACUCUAUCAGAGAUAACCACAUUUUAGCAAACACUCCGUUGGAGUCACCCCAUGCACACAUGUGUACAUGCAGCCAAGCCUUUUCCCACGCUAUUAGCUGGUGCAAGUUCCAUCCCUGGAUUUUAAGCAUGGGUCGCCUGGAAGAGCUUUGUUAGAGGAAGAAGAAAGAGGUGUAUCUCAGGAAAAUCCUGGUUCCCAAAGUUGCACAUUAUGUCAGAUGUACCUGUCUUUGACGGCUGGGAGAGCGGACAAGACCCUGCCCCAGCCCUGGCCAGGAAUGGUGGCUGGUGAGCCCCUAGUUGCAGGCAACCUGGACCUGUCCUCGCGGCACCUGAAGAGGGGAAAGGAGACUUGAGGAGAAUGACUGUCCCCAGGCGACCGCCCAUGAACACCUGAGCACCCAUCUGAUAAACAGCCUGGAGUCACUGGAGAGUGACAGCUUCCAUGUAUAUUCAUAUAUGCUCACCAUUAUUUUUCAUAACCACAUCACAUUGCAUCAUUUUAAUGUAUCAUAAUUUUCUCAACCAGCCCCAUCCAGAAGCUUCUUAACCCAAUCUCUUUCUAAGGCCCUCCAAAGGGCUGGAAGAGGGAGCAUCUUUAUUUUGCUGCUGCCAUCAGGGGUCUUGGGAGAGUCCCCUUGGAUCCUGAUUUUUCAGGGCUUGAUACCUGAGAAUAACUGACAGAAAUUUUGAGAACUGUGCCCCCAGUAAUAACAAUAAUUAACAUUGUUUUCAGUACUCUGGGCCAGGCACUGUUCUAAGCACUUUGUACAUAUUAUCUAAGUGACUCUUCACAACAACAACCUUCUGAGGGAGGAGUAAAUUGGUGAGCACCAUUCAUUCAAAUGCACGGUGAGAAGUGUAGUGGGGAGAUGCAAAAGAAGAAUGAAAUAGCCCACAGAAGAUUUCCACACAAGCUGAUAAAUAUACACCUGUGGUUCUCGUUAACCACAGGAGUCAGUGUGGCCCUGUGUGAUAUAAUAAAGAAUAAACCUUUGGUCUCUGCCCCUAGUUCCUGGCACCGUGCUCCUGAAACCCUUGUACUUUCCUAAGUGAUAGUCGUGCUAGGAGCAUCUUUUGUUCUAAUAUUUAGUCUUUGACCUUGGUUCCUGACACAGAGCUCCUAAAUCCCUUGGAAUUUCCUGGAUAAUAGGUGCAUCUUUUGUUCUAAUGAGGUGACUCUUGGUGGGCCCCUGGAUGGGGGCUGCUCACUAGAAAGACCUCAGCAUGAUCAGAGGCUCGGAACAUUCAGCCCCACCCCCAUCCCCAGGGAGGGGAGAGGAGUUGGAUAUUAAAUUAAUAAUUGAUUCUGCCUUUGUGAUGAAGCCGCCAUAAAAAUCCCUCAAGCACAGGGUGUGGAGGGAUUCUGUGCAGGUGAACACAUCCAUGAACCAGGAGGGUGGUGCCCCCCAACUCCACUGGAACAGAAGCUCCUGUGCUGGGGACCCUCCAGCCCUCGCCCUAU